ACCAUGCAGCUCCACCCCCGGGUUACAGACCCCGCCCCCGCCAGACGUAUGAUUGGCAGCCUGCUCUCGUUGAUGAAGACCAGUGGUUCCAGAGGUGUGUUCUGUGAGCUGAGGCAGGGUGACAGGAGGAUGUUUGAUUUAUACUCUAAACUGGGCUCCUUCACAACGCUCAAAAUGGCAGGGCUGCCUCAGGACGUCAUCGCCAUGGGAACCAGCUUGUAAACAAAGAUGGCUGCCGCAAAGAGUCGUCGCCAUGGGAACCACCUUGCACUACUACAUCGUCAGGUUUUUAAAAUGGCCUUUUGGAUAACAGGGACGAGAACGUUUGAUAAAUUCAGUUGCUUAUUUGAUUGAAAAACAUUGUUUAAUGGCCAUGUGUCAAUCACUAUAGGAUGAUGUGUGAAAUGUAUCUGAUCCACAUUGUUUGACUGAGUAUUUGUGGAACGUAUCUUUGUAAAUUCCAAUCAGUUAAUGGUAUGUUUUAAAUUAUGACUUCCCUGAACAAUCCCAUAUUAAUGGAAUGAUAACUUGAAGUGAUUGAUUGCAUUUAAAUCAACCAGGAUCUAACUAAUGUACUGUAUCUGUUUUAUGUUGUGAUCAAUAAAGAUUUGACCAAUUUGAA